CCUACGGGGGGCUGCAGUGGGGAAUAUUGGACAAUGGGGGGAACCCUGAUCCAGCCAUGCCGCGUGUGUGAAGAAGGCCCUCGGGUUGUAAAGCACUUUCAGUGAGGAAGAACGCCUGGUGGUUAAUACCCAUCAGGAAAGACAUCACUCACAGAAGAAGCACCGGCUAACUCCGUGCCAGCAGCCGCGGUAAUACGGAGGGUGCGAGCGUUAAUCGGAAUUACUGAGCGUAAAGCGCGCGUAGGUGGCUUGAUAAGCCGGUUGUGAAAGCCCCGGGCUCAACCUGGGAACGGCAUCCGGAACUGUCAAGCUAGAGUGCAGGAGAGGAAGGUAGAAUUCCCGGUGUAGCGGUGAAAUGCGUAGAGAUCGGGAGGAAUACCAGUGGCGAAGGCGGCCUUCUGGACUGACACUGACACUGAGGUGCGAAAACGUGGGUAGCAAACAGGAUUAGAUACCCCAGUAGUC
rnacentral:rRNA from 1 species